UUAAGCGACUAAGCGUACACGGUGGAUGCCCUGGCAGUCAGAGGCGAUGAAGGACGUGCUAAUCUGCGAUAAGCGACGGUAAGGUGAUAUGAACCGUUAUAACCGGCGAUUUCCGAAUGGGGAAACCCAGUGUGUUUCGACACACUAUCAUUAACUGAAUCCAUAGGUUAAUGAGGCGAACCGGGGGAACUGAAACAUCUAAGUACCCCGAGGAAAAGAAAUCAACCGAGAUUCCCCCAGUAGCGGCGAGCGAACGGGGAGCAGCCCAGAGCCUGAAUCAGUGUGUGUGUUAGUGGAAGCGUCUGGAAAGGCGCGCGAUACAGGGUGACAGCCCCGUACACAAAAAUGCACAUGCUGUGAGCUCGAUGAGUAGGGCGGGACACGUGGUAUCCUGUCUGAAUAUGGGGGGACCAUCCUCCAAGGCUAAAUACUCCUGACUGACCGAUAGUGAACCAGUACCGUGAGGGAAAGGCGAAAAGAACCCCGGCGAGGGGAGUGAAAAAGAACCUGAAACCGUGUACGUACAAGCAGUGGGAGCACGCUUAGGCGUGUGACUGCGUACCUUUUGUAUAAUGGGUCAGCGACUUAUAUUCUGUAGCAAGGUUAACCGAAUAGGGGAGCCGAAGGGAAACCGAGUCUUAACUGGGCGUUAAGUUGCAGGGUAUAGACCCGAAGCCCGGUGAUCUAGCCAUGGGCAGGUUGAAGGUUGGGUAACACUAACUGGAGGACCGAACCGACUAAUGUUGAAAAAUUAGCGGAUGACUUGUGGCUGGGGGUGAAAGGCCAAUCAAACCGGGAGAUAGCUGGUUCUCCCCGAAAGCUAUUUAGGUAGCGCCUCGUGAAUUCAUCUCCGGGGGUAGAGCACUGUUUCGGCAAGGGGGUCAUCCCGACUUACCAACCCGAUGCAAACUGCGAAUACCGGAGAAUGUUAUCACGGGAGACACACGGCGGGUGCUAACGUCCGUCGUGAAGAGGGAAACAACCCAGACCGCCAGCUAAGGUCCCAAAGUCAUGGUUAAGUGGGAAACGAUGUGGGAAGGCCCAGACAGCCAGGAUGUUGGCUUAGAAGCAGCCAUCAUUUAAAGAAAGCGUAAUAGCUCACUGGUCGAGUCGGCCUGCGCGGAAGAUGUAACGGGGCUAAACCAUGCACCGAAGCUGCGGCAGCGACGCUGAUGCGUUGUUGGGUAGGGGAGCGUUCUGUAAGCCUGCGAAGGUGUGCUGUGAGGCAUGCUGGAGGUAUCAGAAGUGCGAAUGCUGACAUAAGUAACGAUAAAGCGGGUGAAAAGCCCGCUCGCCGGAAGACCAAGGGUUCCUGUCCAACGUUAAUCGGGGCAGGGUGAGUCGACCCCUAAGGCGAGGCCGAAAGGCGUAGUCGAUGGGAAACAGGUUAAUAUUCCUGUACUUGGUGUUACUGCGAAGGGGGGACGGAGAAGGCUAUGUUGGCCGGGCGACGGUUGUCCCGGUUUAAGCGUGUAGGCUGGUUUUCCAGGCAAAUCCGGAAAAUCAAGGCUGAGGCGUGAUGACGAGGCACUACGGUGCUGAAGCAACAAAUGCCCUGCUUCCAGGAAAAGCCUCUAAGCAUCAGGUAACAUCAAAUCGUACCCCAAACCGACACAGGUGGUCAGGUAGAGAAUACCAAGGCGCUUGAGAGAACUCGGGUGAAGGAACUAGGCAAAAUGGUGCCGUAACUUCGGGAGAAGGCACGCUGAUAUGUAGGUGAAGCGACUUGCUCGUGGAGCUGAAAUCAGUCGAAGAUACCAGCUGGCUGCAACUGUUUAUUAAAAACACAGCACUGUGCAAACACGAAAGUGGACGUAUACGGUGUGACGCCUGCCCGGUGCCGGAAGGUUAAUUGAUGGGGUUAGCGCAAGCGAAGCUCUUGAUCGAAGCCCCGGUAAACGGCGGCCGUAACUAUAACGGUCCUAAGGUAGCGAAAUUCCUUGUCGGGUAAGUUCCGACCUGCACGAAUGGCGUAAUGAUGGCCAGGCUGUCUCCACCCGAGACUCAGUGAAAUUGAACUCGCUGUGAAGAUGCAGUGUACCCGCGGCAAGACGGAAAGACCCCGUGAACCUUUACUAUAGCUUGACACUGAACAUUGAGCCUUGAUGUGUAGGAUAGGUGGGAGGCUUAGAAGUGUGGACGCCAGUCUGCAUGGAGCCGACCUUGAAAUACCACCCUUUAAUGUUUGAUGUUCUAACGUUGACCCGUAAUCCGGGUUGCGGACAGUGUCUGGUGGGUAGUUUGACUGGGGCGGUCUCCUCCUAAAGAGUAACGGAGGAGCACGAAGGUUGGCUAAUCCUGGUCGGACAUCAGGAGGUUAGUGCAAUGGCAUAAGCCAGCUUGACUGCGAGCGUGACGGCGCGAGCAGGUGCGAAAGCAGGUCAUAGUGAUCCGGUGGUUCUGAAUGGAAGGGCCAUCGCUCAACGGAUAAAAGGUACUCCGGGGAUAACAGGCUGAUACCGCCCAAGAGUUCAUAUCGACGGCGGUGUUUGGCACCUCGAUGUCGGCUCAUCACAUCCUGGGGCUGAAGUAGGUCCCAAGGGUAUGGCUGUUCGCCAUUUAAAGUGGUACGCGAGCUGGGUUUAGAACGUCGUGAGACAGUUCGGUCCCUAUCUGCCGUGGGCGCUGGAGAACUGAGGGGGGCUGCUCCUAGUACGAGAGGACCGGAGUGGACGCAUCACUGGUGUUCGGGUUGUCAUGCCAAUGGCACUGCCCGGUAGCUAAAUGCGGAAGAGAUAAGUGCUGAAAGCAUCUAAGCACGAAACUUGCCCCGAGAUGAGUUCUCCCUGACCCUUUAAGGGUCCUGAAGGAACGUUGAAGACGACGACGUUGAUAGGCCGGGUGUGUAAGCGCAGCGAUGCGUUGAGCUAACCGGUACUAAUGAACCGUGAGGCUUAACCUU
rnacentral:rRNA from 1 species